GGAGUUAGCCGGUGCUUCUUCUGUGAGUGAUGUCCUUCCUGCCGGCUAUUAACCCGCAGGCCUUCUUCCUCACUGAAAGUGCUUUACAACCCGAAGGCCUUCUUCACACACGCGGCAUGGCUGGAUCAGGGUUGCCCCCAUUGUCCAAUAUUCCCCACUGCUGCCUCCCGUAGGAGUCUGGGCCGUGUCUCAGUCCCAGUGUGGCUGAUCAUCCUCUCAGACCAGCUACGGAUCGUCGCCUUGGUGAGCCGUUACCUCACCAACCAGCUAAUCCGACAUAGGCUCAUCCGAUAGCGCGAGGCCCGAAGGUCCCCCGCUUUCCCCCGUAGGGCGUAUGCGGUAUUAGCCUGGGUUUCCCCAGGUUAUCCCCCGACUACCGGGGCAGAUUCCUAUGCAUUACUCACCCGUCCGCCGCUCGCCACCAGGGAGCAAGNUCCCCGUGCUGCCGCUCGACUUGCAUGUGUUAGGCCUGCCGCCAGCGUUCAAUCUGAGCCAGAAUCGAACCCUGA
rnacentral:rRNA from 1 species